AAACUGAAUUCCAUCCAUUGCCUUCUCUGGUUGUAGGAUCAGACAACUUAGAUACUGCAGUUAAAGAAAUAGUUCCCUUUGGGAGAGAGUCUCUACACAAAAGGCUGCCUUGCUUGUCCUGUUCUGCCCCUGUGAAGAUAUGAAUUAAUUUUGUUUUGGCAAUGAAUGCGUUAUUUUGAUGGGCAGUUCAUUUGAAAACCAAGAAAUCCUCCACAGCUGCUUCUGCUAACAAAGAAACAAAAAUGUUUUCCUGAAUCAACCAAACAUUUGACUGCUCCAUCUAGGGAGGGUUUUGUAUGCCAAAAGCUUGUAAGCAUCCCCCAACUAUGUGAGUCUGCCUAAGAAAGGUUGCCUAAACAGAGACCUGCACUUAAUACCUUGUACUGUGAUUUCCCUCUAGUUCCCAUCAUUAAGACUGCCUACCUAGACUGGACAAGCAUGGCAGGGCAAUGCCACAGAGACUUUCAGAAGAGUUUUGUUAUUAUCAAAGUGCAGGAGAGCAGAUGCCAUCACCAUCACUGAAACAGGCCAGUUGUCUCAAACUGCAGCCAUCAUGGUCAGCUGGUAUCCCCCAGACUCUCUUGAUUUCUCUUCAAAACAAAUUCAUUCUAAAUAAUUUUUCACUAAGCUAUAGUAACAGACCAUAAACAUCAAGCAGGAAACAAAAAGACAGUUCUGGCUCAAGAGCGCUUGCUAUAAACCCAGCAUGCAUCAUUUAAGGUGAAAAUUAGA